GACGAACGCUGGCGGCGUGCUUAACACAUGCAAGUCGAACGGUGAAGCGCCUUCCUUUUUGGUGGGUGUGGAUGAGUGGCGAACGGGUGAGUAACACGUGAGUAACCUGCCCCCUUCUUCUGGAUAACCGCAUGAAAGUGUGGCUAAUACGGGAUAUUCUGGGUCUGUCGCAUGAUGGGUCUGGGAAAGAUAUUGUUUCGGUGGGGGCUGGGCUCGCGGCCUAUCAGCUUGUUGGUGGGGUGAUGGCCUACCAAGGCGGUGACGGGUAGCCGGCCUGAGAGGGUGGACGGUCACACUGGGACUGAGACGCGGCCCAGACUCCGACGGGAGGCAGCAGGGGGGAAUAUUGCACAAUGGGCGCAAGCCUGAUGCAGCGACGCCGCGUGGGGGAUGGAGGCCUGCGGGUUGUGAACCUCUUUCGCCAGUGAAGCAGGCCUGCCUCGUUUGUGGGUGGGUUGACGGUAGCUGGAGAAGAAGCGCCGGCUAACUACGUG
rnacentral:rRNA from 1 species